GAUGAACGCUAGCGGGAGGCCUAACACAUGCAAGCCGAGCGGUAUUGUUUCUUCGGAAAUGAGAGAGCGGCGUACGGGUGCGGAACACGUGUGCAACCUGCCUUUAUCUGGGGGAUAGCCUUUCGAAAGGAAGAUUAAUACUCCAUAAUAUAUUGAACGGCAUCGUUUAAUAUUGAAAGCUCCGGCGGAUAGAGAUGGGCACGCGCAAGAUUAGCUAGUUGGUGAGGUAACGGCUCACCAAGGCGAUGAUCUUUAGGGGGCCUGAGAGGGUGAUCCCCCACACUGGUACUGAGACACGGACCAGACUCCUACGGGAGGCAGCAGUGAGGAAUAUUGGUCAAUGGGUGCAAGCCUGAACCAGCCAUCCCGCGUGAAGGACGACUGCCCUAUGGGUUGUAAACUUCUUUUGUAUAGGGAUAAACCUACUCUCGUGAGGGUAGCUGAAGGUACUAUACGAAUAAGCACCGGCUAACUCCGUGCCAGCAGCCGCCGUAACAC
rnacentral:rRNA from 1 species